CCUACGGGAGGCUGCAGUAGGGAAUCUUCCACAAUGGGCGAAAGCCUGAUGGAGCAACGCCGCGUGGGUGAAGAAGGUCUUCGGAUCGUAAAACCCUGUUGUUAGAGAAGAAAGUGCGUGAGAGUAACUGUUCACGUUUCGACGGUAUCUAACCAGAAAGCCACGGCUAACUACGUGCAAGCAGCCGCGGUAAUACGUAGGUGGCAAGCGUUAUCCGGAUUUAUUGGGCGUAAAGGGAACGCAGGCGGGCUUUUAAGUCUGAUGUGAAAGCCUUCGGCUUAACCGGAGUAGUGCAUUGGAAACUGGGAGACUUGAGUGCAGAAGAGGAGAGUGGAACUCCAUGUGUAGCGGUGAAAUGCGUAGAUAUAUGGAAGAACACCAGUGGCGAAAGCGGCUCUCUGGUCUGUAACUGACGCUGAGGUUCGAAAGCGUGGGUAGCAAACAGGAGUAGAUACCCUGGUAGUC
rnacentral:rRNA from 1 species